rnacentral:misc_RNA from 1 species
UGCCAUUCCCUUCCUAUUGAAUUCAAAGCAUGGAUAUGCAUCAGACUCUGAUGAAAAUGUCUAAUCUCUGACUAUUGGUGCACUUGCAGCCAAACUGUAGUUUUUAGCAUAAAUAAGGUCACUUUCAACUAAGCAAUAGAAUGGUAUAGGAAAGGAAACAGUCAUAAUGCUGUGUGGUUUUAUCACGAUCUCCAUGAAAAUUGUACCUGCUAGUUUAUGUAGAAUGCGUAAAACACAAUGUCCAUGGAGGGAUAGAGAUUGAAUUGAAGGCACUCCCUGGCAUCCCAAGUAUAGUUCUCACCCUUCAACACACCAAGCUCCAGGAUGUAAAGAAAACAGAGUUCUUCUUGUGAUGCACAGAAGUCUCUCGUUAGCAAAUGUUAUCCCUGUACAUACUACUAUGAAAGUAAAUUUAGGAGUUUUUCGCACUCCAUUUGUCAAAGGCAAUACACUCAAACAUGAUUUGCAAAGGGUGGAAUGGGCUGCAGUUAGUAGAAU